GAUGAACGCUGGCGGCGUGCCUAAUACAUGCAAGUCGAGCGAACGGACGAGAAGCUUGCUUCUCUGAUGUUAGCGGCGGACGGGUGAGUAACACGUGGAUAACCUACCUAUAAGACUGGGAUAACUUCGGGAAACCGUAGCUAAUACCGGAUAAUAUUUUGAACCGCAUGGUUCAAAAGUGAAAGACGGUCUUGCUGUCACUUAUAGAUGGAUCCGCGCUGCAUUAGCUAGUUGGUAAGGUAACGGCUUACCAAGGCAACGAUGCAUAGCCGACCUUAGAGGGUGAUCGGCCACACUGGAACUGAGACACGGUCCAGACUCCUACGGGAGGCAGCAGUAGGGACUCUUCCGCAAUGGGCGAAAGCCUGACGGAGCAACGCCGCGUGAGUGAUGAAGGUCUUCGGAUCGUAAAACUCUGUUAUUAGGGAAGAACAUAUGUGUAAGUAACUGUGCACAUCUUGACGGUACCUAAUCAGAAAGCCACGGCUAACUACGUG
rnacentral:rRNA from 1 species